UCACACUAAAAGUAACUCCUGCUGAAAAGAUUUCGUACAGGUCAUAAAACCGAACUCCUUUUUUAUAUAGUUAAUCAGAGUGUUUAUUGAAAUAAUUUCGUUAAUUCGGUCGAUAAUUACGUUGUUAGUUUUUAUUAGUCUUAUUAGUUUUAAUCGAAAUAAUUAUCGUACGAUUGACCAUGUCAACUCGCCAUGUUUUGACUGCGAACAACAGCUGAUAAGCGGUUUGUUAGAAGAAAGGCCUGCAAGACGGCGAUAGUGGAUAUUUCAGCUCAACUAACGUAUGACAGAUUAAAAAGCUAUUGGUAGCCACAUGGAUUUUACCUGUUGAUUCUUUUCAGCUCUUGAAGUUAACCUGUCACCUCUACCCACAUGCAUAUUCCUUAAUGUGUUCUACAGACUAUUUACCAGUAAUUCAAAUUAUAUCAGAUAAUUCAUGAACAGUUACUGUAAUGGAACUUUAAGAAAGCAUCAUGCCUUGUUGUGGUUUGUGUUUGAUAAGAAAUUAUAACAAACAAAAUUAAGGCUGUUUAAAGUAAUUUACAAUUUUAGCUGUGAAAAUUUGUUUUUCAAUAAAAGUAUGCAAUUAU